rnacentral:rRNA from 1 species
AGUGAACGCUGGCGGUAGGCCUAACACAUGCAAGUCGAGCGGCAGCACAGUAAGAGCUUGCUCUUACGGGUGGCGAGUGGCGGACGGGUGAGGAAUACAUCGGAAUCUACUUUUUCGUGGGGGAUAACGUAGGGAAACUUACGCUAAUACCGCAUACGACCUACGGGUGAAAGCAGGGGAUCUUCGGACCUUGCGCGAUUGAAUGAGCCGAUGUCGGAUUAGCUAGUUGGCGGGGUAAAGGCCCACCAAGGCGACGAUCCGUAGCUGGUCUGAGAGGAUGAUCAGCCACACUGGAACUGAGACACGGUCCAGACUCCUACGGGAGGCAGCAGUGGGGAAUAUUGGACAAUGGGCGCAAGCCUGAUCCACCCAUACCGCGUGGGUGAAGAAGGCCUUCGGGUUGUAAAGCCCUUUUGUUGGGAAAGAAAAGCAGCAGGUUAAUACCCCGCUGUUCUGACGGUACCCAAAGAAUAAGCACCGGCUAACUUCGUG